AUGGAGAGAGGCUCGUCACCCAGUAAAAUGGUAUAUACCAUUUUACUGGGUGACGAGCCUCUCUCCCA
rnacentral:pre_miRNA from 1 species